ensembl:lncRNA MIR7515HG MIR7515 host gene
AUGCCAUUCCUGGGACCAUCAAAAAUGGCAGAGGUCACACAAAAAGGCAAAACUUUUAAGAGGUGUUUUAAACGUCGUAUGGGCCAAAGAGAAGCUGGAUUUCCUAUUGGAGUCACCUGUAACACACGUGUGACGAAAUUGGCCUGUGAGGACAAGGCAGUGAGCAGAGAGGACAGCAGUCCUUAUGAGAUCAAGCUCUAAGAAAAGUUGCUAAAACUGCUGUGAGAUUCUGGCUAAGAAAGUUUCAUGAGAAGUUUUACAGAAAAAUGUGAACGGAAGACAGAACUAGAUAUAAAUUUGAAUGUUUUGAGAAGAAUGCGAAGAAGAAAGGAAGAGUGAGCCUCUCUUUCCCAUCGUUACCCUCCAUUGUCCUCUUGACACCCUGCUUUCACAGAGAAAGAGUUUGAGACCCUCUCCCAGGAGCCAAGGAGAGGGGAACAGCUGGCUUCACAUCAUCUUUCUAUUCAACAAGAUACAAAAAGCUGAAGCCAGGAUGAUAGAAAAGCAACAAAGAAGACACGGUCCUUACUCAUUUCCCUUCCCACUUCAGAGCAAAUAUGGUGCCUGGUGUUCGAAGGGAGAACUUGUGGGCAGAGCAGGAAGCGUGUAUCCAUUUUCUAAUUUCAUCUUAUUUUCCUGCAUAUGUGCUCAUGACUUGGACCUGAUAUGAGAUUUUGCUUCUCCCAUUUUUGCCUCAAUAUUACCCCUUGG